rnacentral:lncRNA from 1 species
GAAAAAAUCUCUUGCAUUAUUUCAACACAGGAAAGGGAAGUCAGAGGCUUAGAGAAGAAUAGGAAUGGACUCCCUGACUGGCCCUUCAGUUCAACUUGUGAUUUCACCUAGGAAAUUAUGAAAACAUCACUGUUGCUGCUUACAGAUUCACAAGCACAUGUCAAAGGAAAUCUCAAAGCAGAUUGAUGAAACAGGAGUAUUAAAUGUGGCCAGAAUGCUACCAAAAGCCUGAUCCCAUCUUACAUCUUCUCCACAAUGGACAAAUGUACUGCUCAAACUCCAUCCCAGCUGCAGAAGGAUGUGCAUGCACAAUAGAGAACAUGACAAGAUAAAUAGAAAUACAUGCCUGUACAUCAGAGACCAAAAUUAAGUCUGUGUCAGAUCAGAAUUGAACUUGGCUAAUCGGAAAAUCUCCAUUAAUCUCUCAUUAAGAUAAACUUCUGAAAAUCUAAUAUAUACAUCACUUUUUAUACUACUGAUUAGCAAGGCUUGAAAUUUACAGAUCUUGUGAACAAAGGAUAAAACCUAUUAUAAAAUCAGUAAAGUAGGUGAAAAUGAAAGGAAAAAGUCAGUAUAACAUAUACAGA